rnacentral:lncRNA from 1 species
ACCGCGUGUGCAGUAAUUUGAGUGCAGCCAAGGGAGUUGCAUCCUCCUUUUUUUAGGGGAAGACCAAGCUUUAUUCAACUCUAAAAAAAAAAGACACAAGCAAUGUCAGGAGACCAGACGCGGCGUCCGAACGAGAGGGGUGAAGCCUAAAUUAUGAGCAUCAGCCCAGCGGUUGCUCGAAGUGCAUUCGGCGAUCAAAAGCCCAAAGGAAGAGUGUCCGUACCAGUUCGGGCCCAAACAAAUCCUCAACCCCUGUACGAAAUACCCGAAGCAGGCCUAGUCAAGCAGCCCACGACACGGGAGGUUGGUCUCCAUGUGUAACAGCGAGCAGAGGUUCGCUCGCUCAAAAAAAAAAAAAAAGCGAACAGAGGAUGUGACCCAGAUUGCAGAGCAUCAUUUGGUA